rnacentral:rRNA from 1 species
GAUGAACGCUGGCGGCGUGCCUAAUACAUGCAAGUCGAGCGAACGGACGAGAAUCUUGCUUCUCUGAUGUUAGCGGCGGACGGGUGAGUAACACGUGGAUAACCUACCUAUAAGACUGGGAUAACUUCGGGAAACCGGAGCUAAUACCGGAUAAUAUUUUGAACCGCAUGGUUCAAAAGUGAAAGACGGGCUUGCUGUCACUUAUAGAUGGAUCCGCGCUGCAUUAGCUAGUUGGUAAGGUAACGGCUUACCAAGGCAACGAUGCAUAGCCGACCUGAGAGGGUGAUCGGCCACACUGGAACUGAGACACGGUCCAGACUCCUACGGGAGGCAGCAGUAGGGAAUCUUCCGCAAUGGGCGAAAGCCUGACGGAGCAACGCCGCGUGAGUGAUGAAGGUCUUCGGAUCGUAAAACUCUGUUAUUAGGGAAGAACAUAUGUGUAAGUAACUGUGCACAUCUUGACGGUACCUAAUCAGAAAGCCACGGCUAACUACGUG